CCCAAGGGGGUAAUCCUAGCUCCAAUGUCGGGUAUCGGACAUAGAAGAACCUCUUCUUCCAGUUGUGGAUAGAAGAGGGGGCGUCUUUCAGCAACCCCUUUCUACUGAACUGAGGAGAGAAGUACCACCAGUCCUUUAUCGAGGGAUGAUGCUUGAAAGUGUAGAAGUUCCUAAAUAAAGAAAGAGUCGGCCGAACUUCAGCUAAACUACAAAGAGAAAGAAAUCUUAUCAAAAACCUAAAGGAGUUCGACGCUACUGAGACUAGAAAAAUAUUCAGAAAAUGAAAGAGAGCAACGACAAAAGGCAGA
rnacentral:lncRNA from 1 species